rnacentral:lncRNA from 1 species
UUUUGAGCAGACAAUGUAAACAAACAAACAAAAUCAAACCAAACACCCUCUCGGUCACCUCACCCUCCCUCCCUCUGAUUUCAGUCCGGCGAACAAGCACAGGGAACCGGUGGCUGCCGGUGGUCCUUUCAGGCGAAGACACCCCCUUCUUGGUUCCCCUGUAACCGAUAACCACCAAUCACAGCCCCCCCCUCUUCGACCUACAUAACGGAGCACCACCACCACCGUCCGGUUGUGGUGCGGCAGUGCGACAGAGAGAUGAGAGAGGGAGCAGCGGACAGAGAGAGGAGAAAGACGACGUGAGAGGAGAGUGAGAAACACGACGUCGCCGGUGGCGUCACCGGCGACUCUAGUGCAGCGGCGGUGGAAUCAAACGACGGCGGUGGAGGUCACGGCGAGGUCCGAGCGGCAGAAUAGGUGGUGGUGAGCGGCGGUUGUGUCUCAGACUGGUGGUCCCUGCCUCGGACCGGUGGAUCUUGCCUCGGACCGUCGGGUUUCGUCGUUAGACUCGGUUCAGCGUGGAUGUGCGGGUGAACCCAGUUCAUGUUCGGGUCAAACCCGGUUGACUCGGUCAACACCCGAGUCAACUCGGGUCAACAGAAGGUCCACCCUGGUCAGCGGUUAACGAUUCGGUACGGGUCAGAAUAUGACACGGUUUGGUUGACUCGGACAAACUGAAUCAACUCGGUUAAACCCAGUCAACUCAGUUUACCCGGUCAACUCAGUCAGCUCACUCGACACUUCGACGUGAAGACUUGGUAAAAAUAAAUGACGCGAAUAUUGUAGAAUGCACGCUAGCGAGUCACGUCUUGGAAACGACAUCAUUAAAGUCUUAUAUAGCUAGCUUUGCACAGGAAUAUUCAGGUUUCCGAUACCUGAAGACUUUGUGGAUACAAGUGAAAGCCAGACUAUGAUCCUGAAGCAGAUGAUGCUGAUGAACUUAAGGAAUACCAGCACAUUGUUAGGGGGAGUCUGUUGAUGCAGAUAGAAAGAGUAAGGCACAGAGACUGGUCAAGAUUGAAGACGUAAAGACUCGACACGAAAGACUCGUCAACAUCUGAGGGGGAGUCUUUUAGUGCAUGCAUCUGUCGACUUCGUCUUGUAUCGAGUUUUGUACUAGAUAGGUUAGAUCAGGGCACGUUGUACGAGAAAAUAUUAGAUUUAAGGUUGAUUUGAAUGUGAUUUCGCUUGAAGAGCUAAUUCCUCUUGAAAUGUAUUUGGUCACUUUAAGCAGAAUCAGCAACUUUCUAAUUUCGCUUGAACUGUUUCUGUCCAUUUCAAGUGGAAUCAAGACCCUAUAAAUACCUUUCAAGCGUAAUCAUUUGUAUCGAUUCUGAUUUUGGAUACCGAGGUUGUGACAUCGGUGCUUGUGAUAUCAUUUUACCAACUCUGAACAAUACAAUAUUAAUAAAACAGUGUGUUUU